rnacentral:rRNA from 1 species
AGUGAACGCUGGCGGUAGGCCUAACACAUGCAAGUCGAACGGCAGCACAGUAAGAGCUUGCUCUUACGGGUGGCGAGUGGCGGACGGGUGAGGAAUACAUCGGAAUCUACUUUUUCGUGGGGGAUAACGUAGGGAAACUUACGCUAAUACCGCAUACGACCUACGGGUGAAAGCAGGGGAUCUUCGGACCUUGCGCGAUUGAAUGAGCCGAUGUCGGAUUAGCUAGUUGGCGGGGUAAAGGCCCACCAAGGCGACGAUCCGUAGCUGGUCUGAGAGGAUGACAAGCCACACUGGAACUGAGACACGGUCCAGACUCCUACGGGAGGCAGCAGUGGGGAAUAUUGGACAAUGGGCGCAAGCCUGAUCCAGCCAUACCGCGUGGGUGAAGAAGGCCUUCGGGUUGUAAAGCCCUUUUGUUGGGAAAGAAAAGCAGCAGGUUAAUACCCCGCUGUUCUGACGGUACCCAAAGAAUAAGCACCGGCUAACUUCGUG